CAGCACCUCAAGUGGUCAGGAUGAUUAUUGGGCCUAAAGCAUCCGUAGCCGGCGCUGUAAGUUUUCGGUUAAAUCUGUACGCUCAACGUACAGGCUGCCGGGAAUACUGCAGCGCUAGGGAGUGGGAGAGGUAGACGGUACUCGGUAGGAAGGGGUAAAAUCCUUUGAUCUAUUGAUGACCACCUGUGGCGAAGGCGGUCUACCAGAACACGUCCGACGGUGAGGGAUGAAAUCUGGGGGAGCAAACCGGAUUAGAUACCCGAGUAGUCC
rnacentral:rRNA from 1 species